rnacentral:rRNA from 1 species
GACGAACCGUGCGAACGUUAUUCGGAAUCACUGGGCUUAAAGCGCGUGUAGGCGGGUCGGCACGUCGGCCGCUGAAAUCCCCCGGCUCAACCGGGGAAGUGGCGCCGAUACGACCGACCUGGAGGGGGGUAGGGGGAGCCGGAACUUCCGGUGGAGCGGUGAAAUGCGUUGAGAUCGGAAGGAACGCCCGUGGCGAAAGCGGGCUCCUGGACCCCACCUGACGCUGAGACGCGAAAGCCAGGGGAGCGAACGGG